UUAAGCGACUAAGCGUACACGGUGGAUGCCCUGGCAGUCAGAGGCGAUGAAGGACGUGCUAAUCUGCGAUAAGCGUCGGUGAGGUGAUAUGAACCGUUAUAACCGGCGAUUUCCGAAUGGGGAAACCCAGUGUGUUUCGACACACUAUCAUUAACUGAAUCCAUAGGUUAAUGAGGCGAACCGGGGGAACUGAAACAUCUAAGUACCCCGAGGAAAAGAAAUCAACCGAGAUUCCCCCAGUAGCGGCGAGCGAACGGGGAGGAGCCCAGAGCCUGAAUCAGUGUGUGUGUUAGUGGAAGCGUCUGGAAAGGCGUGCGAUACAGGGUGACAGCCCCGUACACAAAAAUGCACAUAUUGUGAGCUCGAUGAGUAGGGCGGGACACGUGGUAUCCUGUCUGAAUAUGGGGGGACCAUCCUCCAAGGCUAAAUACUCCUGACUGACCGAUAGUGAACCAGUACCGUGAGGGAAAGGCGAAAAGAACCCCGGCGAGGGGAGUGAAAAAGAACCUGAAACCGUGUACGUACAAGCAGUGGGAGCCUCUUUAUGGGGUGACUGCGUACCUUUUGUAUAAUGGGUCAGCGACUUAUAUUCUGUAGCAAGGUUAACCGAAUAGGGGAGCCGAAGGGAAACCGAGUCUUAACUGGGCGUUAAGUUGCAGGGUAUAGACCCGAAACCCGGUGAUCUAGCCAUGGGCAGGUUGAAGGUUGGGUAACACUAACUGGAGGACCGAACCGACUAAUGUUGAAAAAUUAGCGGAUGACUUGUGGCUGGGGGUGAAAGGCCAAUCAAACCGGGAGAUAGCUGGUUCUCCCCGAAAGCUAUUUAGGUAGCGCCUCGUGAAUUCAUCUCCGGGGGUAGAGCACUGUUUCGGCAAGGGGGUCAUCCCGACUUACCAACCCGAUGCAAACUGCGAAUACCGGAGAAUGUUAUCACGGGAGACACACGGCGGGUGCUAACGUCCGUCGUGAAGAGGGAAACAACCCAGACCGCCAGCUAAGGUCCCAAAGUCAUGGUUAAGUGGGAAACGAUGUGGGAAGGCCCAGACAGCCAGGAUGUUGGCUUAGAAGCAGCCAUCAUUUAAAGAAAGCGUAAUAGCUCACUGGUCGAGUCGGCCUGCGCGGAAGAUGUAACGGGGCUAAACCAUGCACCGAAGCUGCGGCAGCGACACUAUGUGUUGUUGGGUAGGGGAGCGUUCUGUAAGCCUGUGAAGGUGGCCUGUGAGGGUUGCUGGAGGUAUCAGAAGUGCGAAUGCUGACAUAAGUAACGAUAAAGCGGGUGAAAAGCCCGCUCGCCGGAAGACCAAGGGUUCCUGUCCAACGUUAAUCGGGGCAGGGUGAGUCGACCCCUAAGGCGAGGCCGAAAGGCGUAGUCGAUGGGAAACAGGUUAAUAUUCCUGUACUUGGUGUUACUGCGAAGGGGGGACGGAGAAGGCUAUGUUGGCCGGGCGACGGUUGUCCCGGUUUAAGCGUGUAGGCUGGUUUUCCAGGCAAAUCCGGAAAACCAAGGCUGAGGCGUGAUGACGAGGCACUACGGUGCUGAAGCGACAAAUGCCCUGCUUCCAGGAAAAGCCUCUAAGCAUCAGGUAACAUCAAAUCGUACCCCAAACCGACACAGGUGGUCAGGUAGAGAAUACCAAGGCGCUUGAGAGAACUCGGGUGAAGGAACUAGGCAAAAUGGUGCCGUAACUUCGGGAGAAGGCACGCUGAUAUGUAGGUGAAGCGACUUGCUCGUGGAGCUGAAAUCAGUCGAAGAUACCAGCUGGCUGCAACUGUUUAUUAAAAACACAGCACUGUGCAAACACGAAAGUGGACGUAUACGGUGUGACGCCUGCCCGGUGCCGGAAGGUUAAUUGAUGGGGUUAGCGGUAACGCGAAGCUCUUGAUCGAAGCCCCGGUAAACGGCGGCCGUAACUAUAACGGUCCUAAGGUAGCGAAAUUCCUUGUCGGGUAAGUUCCGACCUGCACGAAUGGCGUAAUGAUGGCCAGGCUGUCUCCACCCGAGACUCAGUGAAAUUGAACUCGCUGUGAAGAUGCAGUGUACCCGCGGCAAGACGGAAAGACCCCGUGAACCUUUACUAUAGCUUGACACUGAACAUUGAGCCUUGAUGUGUAGGAUAGGUGGGAGGCUUUGAAGUGUGGACGCCAGUCUGCAUGGAGCCGACCUUGAAAUACCACCCUUUAAUGUUUGAUGUUCUAACGUUGGCCCGUAAUCCGGGUUGCGGACAGUGUCUGGUGGGUAGUUUGACUGGGGCGGUCUCCUCCUAAAGAGUAACGGAGGAGCACGAAGGUUGGCUAAUCCUGGUCGGACAUCAGGAGGUUAGUGCAAUGGCAUAAGCCAGCUUGACUGCGAGCGUGACGGCGCGAGCAGGUGCGAAAGCAGGUCAUAGUGAUCCGGUGGUUCUGAAUGGAAGGGCCAUCGCUCAACGGAUAAAAGGUACUCCGGGGAUAACAGGCUGAUACCGCCCAAGAGUUCAUAUCGACGGCGGUGUUUGGCACCUCGAUGUCGGCUCAUCACAUCCUGGGGCUGAAGUAGGUCCCAAGGGUAUGGCUGUUCGCCAUUUAAAGUGGUACGCGAGCUGGGUUUAGAACGUCGUGAGACAGUUCGGUCCCUAUCUGCCGUGGGCGCUGGAGAACUGAGGGGGGCUGCUCCUAGUACGAGAGGACCGGAGUGGACGCAUCACUGGUGUUCGGGUUGUCAUGCCAAUGGCACUGCCCGGUAGCUAAAUGCGGAAGAGAUAAGUGCUGAAAGCAUCUAAGCACGAAACUUGCCCCGAGAUGAGUUCUCCCUGAGACUUAGAGUCUCCUGAAGGAACGUUGAAGACGACGACGUUGAUAGGCCGGGUGUGUAAGCGCAGCGAUGCGUUGAGCUAACCGGUACUAAUGAACCGUGAGGCUUAACCUU
rnacentral:rRNA from 18 species